rnacentral:rRNA from 1 species
GAACACCUGGGUCUGUCGGCCGGUGUUAUCCAUAGGGAGCGUGCGUAUAUGGUAAUUACAUUGAGUAAAGCUCAGUUGGGUGGCUGGGUAAGGUGGAUGUGAAAUCCCCGGGCUGAACUUGGGAAGUGCAUUCAAGACUGCCUUGCUAGAGUGUGGAAGAGGGAAGCGGAAUUCCAUGGUUAGCGGUGAAAUGCGUAGAUAUCUGUAUGAACAUCAGUGGCGAAGGCGGCUUCCUGGUCCAACACUGACACUGAGGUGCGAAAGCGUGGGGAGCAAACAGGAUUAGAUACCCCAGUAGUC